UGCAAGUCGAGCGGGAUCCAUCUAGUAGCAAUACUGGGGAAGAUCUAGCGGCGAACGGGUGAGUAACACGUGAGAAACCUGCCCCGAAGUCUGGGAUAACCCGAGGAAACUCGAGCUAAUACCGGAUACCCACCACUGGUCGCAUGGCCGGUCGUGGAAAGAUUCAUCGCUUCGGGAGGGUCUCGCGGCCUAUCAGCUAGUUGGCGGGGUAACGGCCCACCAAGGCGUCGACGGGUAGCUGGUCUGAGAGGACGAUCAGCCACACUGGGACUGAGACACGGCCCAGACUCCUACGGGAGGCAGCAGUGGGGAAUCUUGCGCAAUGGGCGAAAGCCUGACGCAGCAACGCCGCGUGCGGGAUGAAGGCCUUCGGGUUGUAAACCGCUUUCAGGAGGGACGAAAUUGACGGUACCUCCAGAAGAAGCCCCGGCCAACUACGUGCCAGCAGCCGCGGUAACACGUAGGGGGCGAGCGUUGUCCGGAUUUAUUGGGCGUAAAGAGCUCGUAGGUGGCUUAGUAAGUCGGGUGUGAAACCUCCAGGCUCAACCUGGAGACGCCACCCGAUACUGCUAUAGCUUGAGUCCGGUAGGGGAGCGUGGAAUUCCUGGUGUAGCGGUGAAAUGCGCAGAUAUCAGGAGGAACACCAGCGGCGAAGGCGGCGCUCUGGGCCGGUACUGACACUGAGGAGCG
rnacentral:rRNA from 1 species